rnacentral:rRNA from 1 species
GGAGUCUGGGCCGUGUCUCAGUCCCAAUGUGGCUGAUCAUCCUCUCAGACCAGCUAGAGAUCGUCGCCUAGGUGAGCCUUUACCUCACCUACCAGCUAAUCCCGUUUGGGCACAUCUGAUAGCGCAUUGCUGCUUUCCCCCUCAGGGUGUAUGCGGUAUUAGCAGCCGUUUCCAGCUGUUGUCCCCCUCCUAUCAGGCAGUUUCCCAAAUCUUACUCACCCGUCCGCCACUCGUCAGCAAGGAAGCAAGCUUCCUCCUGUUACCGUCCGACUUGCAUGUAUUAGGCCUGCCGCCAGCGUUCAAU